GGGUGACAGGUGGUGCAUGGUUGUCGUCAGCUCGUGUCGUGAGAUGUUGGGUUAAGUCCCGCAACGAGCGCAACCCUCGACCUUAGUUGCCAGCAUUCAGUUGGGCACUCUAAGGUGACUGCCGGCUAAAAGUCGGAGGAAGGUGGGGAUGACGUCAAAUCAUCAUGCCCCUUAUGACCUGGGCUACACACGUGCUACAAUGGGCGGUACAAAGGGUCGCGAACCCGCGAGGGGGAGCCAAUCCCAAAAAGCCGCUCUCAGUUCGGAUUGCAGGCUGCAACUCGCCUGCAUGAAGCCGGAAUCGCUAGUAAUCGCGGAUCAGCAUGCCCGCGGUCCGAAUACGUUCCGGGCCUU
rnacentral:rRNA from 1 species